rnacentral:rRNA from 1 species
UCGUAGUGCUCUUCGUUGAGGGUGUAUUUUGGGAGGGAUCAUU